ACAAAUAAAGAAUGUUUAGAAACUCUACUCGGCCACCAAUCUAGAGAUAUAUUAUUUGGGGUAUAUAACACAUGUUUAUAGCUUACCAAAUUGAAGACCAAAAACAUAUACCCGACUUAUAGACCCGUAUAAAGGAAGGCGAGUGAUAGGCGCCGGCGCACCGGCCCAAAUUUGGGCCGGUCGCUGCGCAUCCGUUCGAUUUGUCUUUUUUAACCGUUCGAUUAGCACUACUUCAGCUUUUCUUUCCCCACCAAUCGUCUAAAUAAUCACAGAGCGAGCGCGCAUUGACCCAGCCCUGGUGUGCACAUCCGCCGUCGUACGUCCUUACAAAAAAUUUAACUGUUGCGCAGGCUGCUGUAUCAUCGACGACACUCGCCAUCUCGCCAUCGCCGGCGAGAUUCAACACGGCCUUCCAGCUACGACCAGUGACGACUGCACCUCUCCCACCGACUGGUUCCAGUGCGUGCUCGUCGUGGUCUGCAACAUCUUCAGGGCCGCCGCAUCCAGCUCGCCGCCAUCGGCGUCUUGCACCACCAUUUUCCCAGCAAAAAACCUUGGCAACAAAAACUCUAGUGGUGAUUGAUGGAAGCAAAAAAGAAUAGUGGUUCCAGCAAAAACUAUCGCUAGUUCCAGCAAAAAAUACUCAUCAUCACUGGUUGUAGCAAAAAAUCUAUCUGGUAGCAGCAAACAAAUUUACCGGUUCCAGCAAAACAAAUCAUCGGUGCCAGCAAAACAACUUCGACGGUUGUUUGGUUCCAGCAUAGAUCAAUGUGGUUGCAGCACCACCGGCAGGGGAUGUAGCUUCGCAGGAAACGGAUGCAACACCUCCGGCAGCCGGUUCCAGCACCUCCCGCGUGUUGUCACGGUGCCGCCGGUGACAGUAUGCAGCUUUCACCGGCAACGGAUGCAACUUUCGCCGGGAAGGGAUGCCACUUUCGUCGGGAACGGAUGCAGCUUCGCUCCCAGGCGGUUCCUAGCACCGUCGUCGAUUGGUUGUGGCAUCUCCCCAUGUCAUUGCAGCACCUCUGUUGGGCGGUUCCAGCUCCUCCAUCCCACGGUUGCAGCAUCCGGCCACCGUCAGGAGUUAGCCGGUUGAAGCACCGGUGGCCGUCAUCUCCAGCCGUGCGGGUUGCAAAAGUGUCCAACCUCGCACAACAUCGACGGGGGCGGUUGGCUGCCAGCCCCAUCUCUACCCGAUCUAGAUGAAAAAAAGGCCUGCAAUNNN
rnacentral:lncRNA from 1 species